CUGGACGAAACUGAAUCAUUCUGGAUACUGAGUUUCUUCGUUCGGGACGAAGGGGUAGGAGGUUCGAAUCCUCUCAUUCCGACCA
rnacentral:tRNA from 1 species